GCGCGGAUUGGUUGCUAGGACGGUGACGUCAGCGAGCCGGGGACGAGGGGGAGCGGAGAGAGACGCGGAAAAAAGGUCAAACUGAAGGCGAGCCGGAGAAGCGGCGGCGGCAGCAGCAGCAGCGGGAGGCGGGAGCGGCGCCCCUUCCCGGCAGGGCUGAUUCAUCCAUCCAUCAUCACAGAAGGCUUCAAACCUCCCUGUCGUGAAUUGACUCAUCUCUCACCUAGGAACAAUAUUGUAUGCAUCAAUGAAGUUUGCCUUUUAAUGUCAGGCAUCGCCCCACUCCAACUGGCUCCGGGCAGGACACAAUAUAACACCGUACAGACCAAUACCAGAUGGGAUCCAAUCACCGUAAGGAGACAAAUUGCAAGAUUCAGAUGGGCCCUUCCCUGCAGCCCAAAGAAUGGUAGUUUGUUGUUGUAAACAUCCCCGACUGGAAGCUGGAAAACGUAGCUUUCAGUCCGAUGUUUGCUGCCGCCAGCUACUCAUAAACAACGCCGGAAGGAAAAGAUCCAUCAUCAAGAGGCUUUGUUUCAAAACUGGCAGGUACUGCGCUGUCGCUUCUACCGUGUUUCCCCAAAAGUAAGACUGGGCCCUAUAUUAAUUUUUGCUCCAAAAGACGCAUUAGGGCUUAUUUUCUGGUUAGGUCUUAUUUUGGGGGAAAUACAGUACUAAAUGCAUCCAUCUGGCUGCCGAUCUUAACUGGGUCUUAUUUUGGGGGUAGGGCUUAUAUUACAAGCAUCCUAAAAAAACAUUCUAGGGCUUAUUUUCCACUUGGGUCUUAUUUUUGGGGAAACAUGGUAGGAUCUGUAACACAGGCUUUUGGUUGAGAGGAGGAGGGGAAAAAAAUCUGGCAGCAUGGAUGAUAAAAUCCUCCUGUUGACCUUAAAGCAGAGGUGGGCAACGAUGGCCCCUUUAUGACUUGUGGACUUCCAUUCCCAGCAUGGCUGGCUCAGGAAUUCUGGGAGUUGAAGUUCCCAAGUCAUAAAGGGGAACCAUCGUUCCCUACCCCUGCCUUAAAGGGAAUGUCAGUUUUCUCUGGACAAGUGCAUGAGUGAUCAAUCCCUGAGGGUGGAAAGGGGGAAGAGAUCCAUUUUUCCUCCCUUGGAUUUACCAAUAUCAGUAAAUGUGGUUAACACACACAGGUAGUUUUCAACUUCAAACAGUUUGUUUAGUGACCUUUCACAUUUACAACAGCCCUGAAAAUAGUGACUUACGGCCAUUUUUUCCAACUUACAACCAUUGCAACAUCCCCAUUGUCACGUGAUCAAAAUUCAGACGCUCGGCAACUGUGUCAUGUCUAGGACGGUUGUAAUGUCCCGGGUUCAUGCAAUCCCCUUUUGCGACCUUCUGGGAAGCAAAGUCAAUCGGGGAAGCCAGAUUCGCUUAACAGCCGCUUUACUGAUGUAACAGUUGCGGUGAUUCACUUAACGGCUGUGGCCAGAAAAGUGAUAAAAUUGAGCAAAACCCGCUCAACAAACGUCUCACUUAGCGACGGAAAAUUUGUCAGAGUUUGUUGCAAAAUCAAAUCCAGAAAGCACACACAGGUCAACUGAUUCAGCAGGAUUCAUUAACUUCUUUAUAUACAUAAUAAUACAUGAAGUGAAUUUACAAUACCAACAGCAGAUUUCUUCCAACCUGGUAGCAGUUACAAGCAAAACCACAAGGCAGGAGAGAACAGUUAGUUUCAUUUCAGCAGAGUUCAGAGCAGGCAAGCCCAGACUUGUUUAGUUCGCAGCACAGAAUCAGACUCAGAGCUUAAAGCUGCAGGGCCCUGCCACGCCCAGACUUCUUACUUAACUUUCUGUUUCUAAAAAGUCCCCAUUGGCUGACCUGUUACUAUGCCUAUUCAUUGGCUGAUCUAUUCCAGUCUAUGAAUAUUCAUACUCUGACAAAUUUUGGGCUCCGUUGUGGUCGUAAGUGGAGGACUACCUGUAUAGAGUUAGGCCAUUGAUAAUUAUGGGCAGCCAAAGCCAACUGCAAUGCUACUAGACCUGAGCCAGAGAUUACUGUAAUAUCUAUCCAUUUCUUUUCUUUUUCAUGAUUUUUGCUUUAAUAUGUUCCCUCUCGGACUGAGCAGUGCUGUUUGUUUUAUUUUCUUAAAUAGGAGCUCCUCAGCAUUUCUGCUUCUUAAGACUACAGUUUUGGACAACUUGAGAAACACCCACCCACACGCAUUCAUACAUUCAUUUAAGCUUCUUGGCAUUCCGUCGAGAGCUGAACGGUUAAGGACGAUGAGAUAUAAAAGAGGAAAAAUUUCAA